rnacentral:rRNA from 1 species
CCUACGGGCGGCAGCAGUGGGGAAUUUUGGACAAUGGGCGCAAGCCUGAUCCAGCCAUGCCGCGUGUCUGAAGAAGGCCUUCGGGUUGUAAAGGACUUUUGUUAGGGAAGAAAAGGAUAGUGUUAAUACCAUUAUCUGCUGACGGUACCUAAAGAAUAAGCACCGGCUAACUACGUGCCAGCAGCCGCGGUAAUACGUAGGGUGCGAGCGUUAAUCGGAAUUACUGGGCGUAAAGCGAGCGCAGACGGUUUAUUAAGCAAGAUGUGAAAUCCCCGAGCUUAACUUGGGAACUGCGUUUUGAACUGGUAAGCUAGAGUAUGUCAGAGGGGGGUAGAAUUCCACGUGUAGCAGUGAAAUGCGUAGAGAUGUGGAGGAAUACCGAUGGCGAAGGCAGCCCCCUGGGAUAAUACUGACGUUCAUGCUCGAAAGCGUGGGUAGCAAACAGGAUUAGAUACCCGGGUAGUC